GACAGAGGGGGCAAGCGUUGCUCGGAAUUACUGGGCGUAAAGGGGCGCGUAGGCGGCGCGGUAAGUCACUUGUGAAAUCUCUGAGCUUAACUCAGAACGGCCAAGUGAUACUGCAGUGCUAGAGUGUGGAAGGGGCAAUCGGAAUUCUUGGUGUAGCAGUGAAAUGCGUAGAGAUGUGGAGGAACACCGAUGGCGAAGGCAGCCCCCCUGGGGCUAACACUGACGCUCAUGCACGAAAGCGUGGGGAGCAAACAGG
rnacentral:rRNA from 1 species